CCUACGGGAUGCAGCAGUGGGGAAUCUUCCGCAAUGGGCGAAAGCCUGACGGAGCAACGCCGCGUGAUCGAAUGAAGGCCUUCGGGUUGUAAAGAUCUGUUGACAGGGACGAAUAAGCAAUGCAAAUAGUUUUGUGUAUGACGGUACCUGUUUAGAAAGCUCCGGCUAACUACGUGCCAGCAGCCGCGGUACUACGUAGGGAGCAAGCGUUGUCCGGAAUUACUGGGCGUAAAGUGCGCAUAGGUGGGCGCUUAAGUCAGGUGUGAAAACUCCGGGCUCAACCUGGAGAAUGCACUUUAAACUGGGUGUCUUGAGGGCAGGAGAGGAAAGUGGAAUUCCUAGUGUAGCGGUGAAAUGCAGAGAUAUCACACAGAACACCGAUUGCGAAGGCAUCUCACGAAUCCGCGAUUGACGCUGAUGCACGAAAGCGUGGGUAUCAAACAGGAUUAGAUACCCCAGUAGUC
rnacentral:rRNA from 1 species